CAGCCGCCGCGGGAAUACGGAGGGUGCAAGCGUUAAUCGGAAUUACUGGGCGUAAAACGCACGCAGGCGGUCUGACAAGUCAGAUGUGAAAUCCCCGGGCUUAACCUGGGAACUGCAUUUGAAACUGUCAGGCUGGAGUCUUGUAGAGGGGGGUAGAAUUCCAGGUGUAGCUGUGAAAUGCGUAGAGAUCUGGAGGAAUACCGGUGGCGAAGGCGGCCCCCUGGACAAAGACUGACGCUCAGGUGCGAAAGCGUGGGGAGCAAACAGGAUUAGAUACCCCAGUAGUCCCUGUCUCUUAUAC
rnacentral:rRNA from 1 species